AUUGAACGCUGGCGGCAGGCCUAACACAUGCAAGUCGAGCGGAGCGGCGGACGGGUGCGUAAUGCCUAGGAAUCUGCCUGGUAGUGGGGGAUAACGUACGGAAACGGGCGGUAAUACCGCAUACUAUCAGAUGAGCCUAGGUCGGAUUAGCUAGUUGGUGGGGUAAAGGCCUACCAAGGCGACGAUCGGUAACUGGUCUGAGAGUAUGAUCAGUCAAACUGGAACUGAGACACGUUCCAGACUCCUACGUGAGGCAGCAGUGGGGAAUAUUGGACAAUGGGCGAAAGCCUGAUCCAGCCAUGCCGCUUGUGUGAAGAAGGUCUUCGGAUUGUAAAGCACUUUAAGUUGGGAGGCGUUACCAACAGAAUAAGCACCGGCUAACUUCGUGCCAGCAGCCGCGGUAAUUC
rnacentral:rRNA from 1 species